rnacentral:rRNA from 1 species
UUAGCAUGGAAUAAUAAAAUAGGACGUGUGGUUCUAUUUUGUUGGUUUCUAGGACCGCCGCAAUGAUUAAUAGGGACAGUCGGGGGCAUCAGUAUUCAAUUGUCAGAGGUGAAAUUCUUGGAUCUAUUGAAGACUAACUACUGCGAAAGCAUUUGCCAAGGAUGUUUUCAUUGAUAAGGAACGAAAGUUAGGGGAUCGAAGACGAUCAGAUACCGUCGUAGUCUUAACUAUAAACUAUGCCGACUAGGGAUCGGACGAUGUUAUCUUUUGACUCGUUCGGCACCUUUCGAGAAAUCAAAGUGCUUGGGCUCCAGGGGGAGUAUGGUCGCAAGGCUGAAACUUAAAGAAAUUGACGGAAGGGCACCACCAGGGGUGGAACCUGCGGCUUAAUUUGACUCAACACGGGGAAACUCACCAGGUCCAGACACAGUGAGGAUUGACAGAUUGAUAGCUCUUUCUUGAUUCUGUGGGUGGUGGUGCAUGGCCGUUCUUAGUUGGUGGAGUGAUUUGUCUGCUUAAUUGCGAUAACGAACGAGACCUUAACCUGCUAAAUAGCCCUUAUUGCUUCGGCAGUAUGCUGGCUUCUUAGAGGGACUAUCGGCUCAAGCCGAUGGAAGUUUGAGGCAAUAACAGGUCUGUGAUGCCCUUAGAUGUCCUGGGCCGCACGCGCGUUACACUGACAAAGCCAGCGAGUAUUUCCUUGGCCGGAAGGCCCGGGUAAUCUUGUUAAACUUUGUCGUGCUGGGGAUAGAGCAUUGCAAU